UGUUAUCAGGGCAGAGAGUGAGAAUUAUGUUUGUGUACUUCAUUUGUGUGUAAAAGAAAAUGCAAAAGCUUUAGACUUAGAAAAUCUACUGCUUAACUGAUUGUGUGGUCUUGGGCAGGUCCUUAACUUUCUGUACCUUGGUUUCCUCAUCCGUAAAAUGGAGACAAUAAUACAUGCCCAAACUACUUCAUAGAGUUGUGAUGAUUCAAUGUAAAAUAAAUCAUCUGUAAAAACCAGAACAGAAUAGCUCAUACCUUUAGAGUUGUGGAUAGCAGACAUUCAGUUGAGGUCUGUUAAGUAUAUGACUUGAUUAUUAUUGAAUCCUGGUUACAAGAAGAACAAUCUGAAUCCAUAUAGGACCCUUCUGAGAAUUCAAACUGCCAUGUUUUUCAUUUUCAGUUGAAGUCAAAAAAGACUUGCUCAAGUUAGGAGUGGAUAGUGGUAGAAUUAGAUUAGAGUUAAGAUUUUUAUAUUCUCUAAAUCACAGGCACUUUACACUUCACGCCUUGUACUUAAUGAGAUUUUAUUCCAACAUAUUCAUUUUUAGGAUUGCACAUAAUCUUGAUCUUCAAUCUUAAAACCUCAUUAUGAAUGCUAAUUAGAAAGACUUGUUGCGGAAAUGUACAGUUGCAUAUAACCCAGUAAACAGGCCAUUGGCUGGAGGGUGAAAUCCAACACAACUGUCUGCAUUGCUAUAAGAUAAACUUAACCUAAAUCGGUAUUUCUUAGACUGUUAGAUCACAUUUUUCUGAGAAUAGCUUCAAAGGAAAAAUAUUUUGCAAACUUAGAUCUCUCUGGCAACGAUCAUGAAAGUUCCUUAAUUCAAAAACCUUUGUAGAUUUUAAUGUUAUUCCUAAGUAGAUCUUAAUUGUACCUCAAGUGCAGUAGAUUGGGAAUAAAUCUAUUAUACAUUUUUUAUACCUUACCUGAAAGUAGGCUACAUUCACCCAGUGGUUCUUACCCAGAGGUGCACCUCAGAAUCAUCUGAAGAAUGUUUUCCAGAAUUCACAACUUGGGCCCUGGUCUGCACCUGUUGACUGAGAAACUCCUAGAUGAUUUUCAAGUGCACUCCUCUUUAACAACCACUGGCCUAAGUUGAAGAUGAAUAGCAGGGAUAAUGCUAGGCAUAAAGUAUCUGAAAAUUUAGUAGUAGCAAAGGCAGAGACUUGAAAACUCAAGAAAAAAUAGGUAUGGUGGUGAUUUUAGACAAUUUUUUUCUAUUUUAUGACUGCUGCUUUUACUGAAAAGAGUAAUUAGAAGAACCUAGAACCUCAUUAGAAAUAUGAGGAAAUAGAUGGCUACUAUCUUCCUGCCUUUAGGAGACAGAAGAAGCCUAAAGAACCUAUUUUGGAGACUAAAGUCGUUGAAAGAAAUUAAAGGACUAGUACUGAAUAGUGGUGAUACUCAAUAUUAAGUUUAACAACUUAACAGUUGGAUGCUUAAAAUAUGCUGAAUUGUACACACACACACACACACACACAC
rnacentral:lncRNA from 10 species